rnacentral:rRNA from 1 species
UGCCAGCCGCCGCGGUAAGACGAACCGUCCGAACGUUAUUCGGAAUUACUGGGCUUAAAGGGUGCGUAGGCGGUGCUGUAAGUCGGGUGUGAAAUCCCACAGCUCAACUGUGGAACUGCGCCCGAUACUGCAGUGCUAGAGGGAGACAGAGGUAAGCGGAACUGAUGGUGGAGCGGUGAAAUGCGUUGAUAUCAUCAGGAACACCGGUGGCGAAAGCGGCUUACUGGGUCUCUUCUGACGCUGAGGCACGAAAGCUAGGGUAGCGAACGGGAUUAGAUA